GAGGGUACAGCUCAAGUGAUAGAGUGAAUGCUUAGUAUGCGUGAGGGUCUGGGUUCAAGCCCAGUACCUCCA
rnacentral:tRNA from 1 species